rnacentral:rRNA from 1 species
CAAUAGCGUAUAUUAAAGUUGUUGCAGUUAAAAAGCUCGUAGUUGGAUUUGUGGCGUACGGUGUGUUCCGGGCACUUGUUGUCUGAGUAACCUGCUGUUGCCAUCCUUGGGUGGAACCUGUGUGGCAUUAGGUUGUCGUGCAGGGGAUGCCCAUCAUUUACUGUGAAAAAAUUAGAGUGUUCAGAGCAGGCUUAUGCCGUUGAAUAUAUUAGCAUGGAAUAAUGAGAUAGGACUUUCUUGCUAUUUUGUUGGUUUGCGCAAAGAGGUAAUGAUUAAUAGGGACAGUUGGGGGUAUUCGUAUUCCAUUGUCAGAGGUGAAAUUCUUGGAUUUUUGGAAGACGAACUACUGCGAAAGCAUUUACCAAGGAUGUUUUCAUUAA